AACGCGAAGAACCUUACCUGGGCUCGAAAUGUAGAGUGAUUUGCAAGAGAUUGCAAAGCCCGAAAGGGACUCUAUAUAGGUGCUGCAUGGCUGUCGUCAGCUCGUGCCGUGAGGUGUUUGGUUAAGUCCAGCAACGAGCGCAACCCUUAUCGUUAGUUGCCAACGCGUAAUGGCGGGAACUCUAACGAGACUGCCUAGGUUAACUAGGAGGAAGGUGAGGAUGACGUCAAGUCCGCAUGGCCUUUAUGUCCAGGGCUACACACGUGCUACAAUGGUCGGUACAGAAGGCAGCGAAGCCGCGAGGUGGAGCAAAUCCUAUAAAACCGAUCUCAGUUCAGAUUGCAGUCUGCAACUCGGCUGCAUGAAGUUGGAAUUGCUAGUAAUGGCGUGUCAGCAACAACGCCGUGAAUACGUUCCCGGGCCUUGUA
rnacentral:rRNA from 1 species